ensembl:lncRNA LOC102550600 uncharacterized LOC102550600
CCUCCGUCCACGCGACUCCGCCUCCUCCCGGGCCCAGCCCCCAGGUCUGUUGAAGCACGUGGAGCGUAUGAUGCGGACUGUAUCGCGGCGUGUUUCACAAGACCUGACUGCUGUACGCGGGUCUCCACCCGUGCCUCACACCUCCUUACAAGUCCCUGUGUGUGUGCAGGAUGUCGGGGGCGGGUCGGUGAGAGCGUGCUUCUUCUCCUGCCUCAGACAGUACAGAGGACUCGCCUGAAGGGGUCCCCAGGAAAGCUCACGGACAAGCAGAAGGGAGGGUGAGGGGCUUAAUUCAAGAAGAACCUUCAGACUCAGAAGGAUGCAAAACCCUGUGUGCUCUGCAAAACCCAGUCUGCCAGGUCUUUCCCACUCGUGUGGCAUGACCAAUGAAGAAAUUCAAACCCCUCGCCUUCUCUGGAUCCAUAGCUGCAGCCAAGAAUGCCAGAGCCGUCCGUGGAAGCCCACAUCGUCGGGGAGGGAGGUGUUCAGCCAUGGACUCCAAGGGUCACUGGAGUCACCUCUCCCUACCCACAAUCCCCCACUCCAGUAUGUCAGCCAUUCAAACACAGUGACAAGCCAUGACAAGCCGGAGUCUCUGUAGCCUGGGCGGUGGGAAGCUAUGGAGCUAAAAGGUCACGACAUUAACAUGCCAUGCUACAGACUGCCUAAAUUGGUGGCUUUGGGAAGAUUGAGAAACUUGCCUCUCAUUCUUUACACGGUCCUUCCGGAGGGCUAAAAGCAUACCACCAACCCACUGAGACAUUGCUAAGAUUCCAAGGUACAGCGCCUAACCUAAUAGGACACGUGGCGACCCUUAGAAACACUUUGUGAGGAAACCGACUUAGCAGUUGUGUAACUUGCCUGCCCAGUAUGUGCACCCUCGUGGCUUCCUACCUCAAGUCAAGCAACCUGCUCACCUCUCACCUGUGGGUGGCUAACCCUUGCUUCUUUUGGAAUCCGUCCCCAUUCACAGUGGCUAGGUUCUGCAUACCCGCUGUGGGGAAGCUUUGAUUUGAGCCAGAGACAGCAAUAGUCCACGGAGGUGUAAAAUCACAACCACAAUUAAACCAAGGCCACUACUAGAGCCCAAAAGGGGUGGCCGUGGAGGAGCGCAGCAGAUUCAAAUGGCUUUUCUGCGUCUGGAAUUAAGAGAAAGAAUGAACAAGGAAAGCAGAGGGGGACCUGUGAUCUGGGACAGCUGGGAGGUCCGGUGCCAGGGAAUUGGAGUCCUAGGAAGCAGCUGUGGUCCUUUCCAGAAAGAGUGACCAUGCCCAGUGAAUGUCCCCAGGACCCAUGGCUCGUGAGUCCUCCGCUGCCACUUUUCACAGGGUUAGGUAAGGCCUUAGACUUCUUCCUGCAAAGCAGCUGUAUUAUCUCUGUCGGGUGCCCCCGUCACUCCUUUUCCAGCAGUAAGACUCUGAAAUGUUUUCCAAGGGCGCCAUCUACUGGUAGGUUGAGAAGUUUCGUCUUAAAUUUCCUCACUUUGGGCUCCCUGCGGCAUGUUUUCCUAGUGGCUAGUUCAAUUGGUCAGUAAUUUAUUUAAAAUGGCAUUGGGCUAACAUGGUAUUGGGGAGCCCUGUCUUCCUAUCUCCAUCUUGAAAUCAGAGCGAGUACCUCUUACAGUCCUUCAUAGAAGAAAGGGGUGGAGAAGGUCAUUGCUCCCCCCCACUUCUCCUAUGCUGCCCAGCGCUCUCCAGCCCUAGGUACACAUGUCUGGGUGUGGCGGAGUAUUCCAGAGGUAGAAGGUUGAUUGAGGAGGUAAGGGGACUUAGUGUCGAAACUGCUAUCUUGUCACCCCUACUGUAAGUGACCGUGCCCAGUGAGCCCAUUCACUGAGCUGCUUGGACUUGCAUAGAAAUGGGUCUGUCAGUGCCCCAUCUGGGAUGAGAAGUCUGUUCACGUCUACCCAUGAAAAGCCAUGCAACAGAGGCACAGUGACCAGAGUGUUUCUGCAGAUGGCAAUAUGCAUGGAUCAGCGGACAACUUGCCUUGAGUCACGUCUACCACAUCAGUUCCAAGGGUGGUUGAACUCAGGUCGUUUGGAUUGGCUGCAAGCACCUUUGCUUACUGAGCCAUUUCUCUCUCUCUCUCUCUCUCUCUCUCUCUCUCUCUCUCUCUCUCUCUCUCUCUGUG